CACCAGCGCCGCAAGUGGGGAUCACAUUUAUUUGGCCUAAAGCGUUCGUAGCCGGCUCGUUAAAUCUCUUGUGAAAUCGUGCGAUUCAACCGCACGGCGUGCAGGAGAGACUGGCGAGCUAGGGAUUGGGAGGAGUCAGGAGUAUGGAUAGGGGAGCAGUAAAAUGCUAUAAUCCUUUUCAGACUACCGGUGGCGAAGGCGCCUGACCAGAACAAAUCCGACGGUGAGGGACGAAAGCUAGGGGAGCAAUCCGG
rnacentral:rRNA from 1 species